GACGAACGCUGGCGGCGUGCUUAACACAUGCAAGUCGAACGGACAGGCCCUGCUUUUGCGGGGCGCUUGAUUGGCGAACGGGUGAGUAACACGUGAGUAACCUGCCCUUGACUUUGGGAUAACUUCUGGAAACUGGGGAUAAUACCGGAGAGGAUCUUCUGCUGCAUGGUGGGGGUUGGUAAGUUACGGUGUUUGGGGAUGGACUCGCGGGUUAUCAGCUGGAUGGUGUGGUAGUGACUUACCAAGGUUUCGACGGGUAGCCGGCCUGGGAGGGUUACCGGCCACAUUGGGACUGAGGUAGGGACCAGUAUCGUACCGGACGCAAAAGUGGGGAAUAUUGCAGAGUAGGCGGAAGCCAGAGGCGACAACGUCGGGUGCGGGAUGCCGGCUUUCGGGUUGUAAACCGCUUUCGCAUGUGCCGAAGAGUGAGUGACGGUAAUGGGUCAAGAAGCACCGGCUAACUACGUG
rnacentral:rRNA from 1 species